rnacentral:lncRNA from 1 species
AUAUUUUGUGCAAAAUUGUAAUUUUAUCACUCUAUCAAAAUGUUUCAGCAGCCUCUGCCACAACAUCUAACUCCAUCACUUCAACAACUGAAACUCAAACAUUUACAACUCCUUCAAGUGAGUAUUGUAAUGCUAUAUUGUUAACAUAUAUUUCUUAAGUACAUAAUGUCAUGGUACCCGUUGCUAAAUCACGUCUCUUACAUUUUUUAAUCUAAAUAUAUCAGCAUCUCCUGCUAGCACAAGCUCUUCUACAACUGAGACUCAAACAGGAGCACCUAUAGCAUCUUCUGCUGGUACACACUCUUCUACAACUGAGACUCAAACAGCAGAACCUACAACAUCUCCUGCCAGUACAAGCUCUUCUACAACUGAGACUCAAACAGCAGCACCUAUAGGUAAGUAAUAUAUGUGUACAGUUGUACAGUGUGUGGUACUCAGAAUUAACUUUCCAUUUUUUUAAUUCAUCAAUAUUUCAGCACUGCCUUCCAGUACAAGCUCUAUAACAGAGACUCAAACAGCAGAAUCUACAAGUAAGAGUUAUUUCUAUACAGUUGCCUGAACACUAUUGUGGUCUAUAUCUAUUAU